CAACUACUCCCUCUGUCCCAAAUUUCUUGUCUUAGAUUUUUCUAGAUAUGGAUGUAUCUAAUACUAAAAUGUGACUUGAAACAUCCGUAUCUAGACAAAUCUAAGACAAGAAUUUUGGGAUGGAGGGAGUACUUU
rnacentral:pre_miRNA from 1 species